UGGGGAAUUUUGGACAAUGGGCGCAAGCCUGAUCCAGCCAUGCCGCGUGCGGGAAGAAGGCCUUCGGGUUGUAAACCGCUUUUGUCAGGGAAGAAAUCUUCUGAGUUAAUACCUCGGGAGGAUGACGGUACCUGAAGAAUAAGCACCGGCUAACUACGUGCCAGCAGCCGCGGUAAUACGUAGGGUGCAAGCGUUAAUCGGAAUUACUGGGCGUAAAGCGUGCGCAGGCGGUUUUGUAAGACAGAGGUGAAAUCCCCGGGCUCAACCUGGGAACUGCCUUUGUGACUGCAAGGCUUGAGUGCGGCAGAGGGGGGAUGGAAUUCCGCGUGUAGCAGUGAAAUGCGUAGAUAUGCGGAGGAACACCGAUGGCGAAGGCAAUCCCCUGGGCCUGCACUGACGCUCAUGCACGAAAGCGUGGGGAGCAAACAGGAUUAGACACCCUGGUAGUCCACGCCCUAAACGAUGUCAACUGGUUGUUGGGAAGGUU
rnacentral:rRNA from 1 species